UGUUUUCACUACAGUAAGUCGCUCUGGAUAAGAGCGUCUGCUAAAUGACUAAUG
rfam:Salmo salar isolate Sally breed double haploid chromosome ssa07, whole genome shotgun sequence.